rnacentral:lncRNA from 15 species
AUUUUAAUGCAGGAUAUUUUUUUAAGUCCCAAAACAUAAAGGAUCAAUGAUCACAAACAGAUAAUUUAAUAAAUACAGUAAUAAGUAGUAAGACAUAUAAAAUAAAAACAGAUACUUGGUUUCCAUUAUAAUGGACUCUGCUCUGCAAACCAACUACAACAACUUCUCAAUAUUAGAAAGUUGUGAAAACAAAUAGUUUAAUAGAUCACAAUCAGAUGAAUUUUGGGCUUUGCACAGACAUUUUAUUACAUCCGCUAACUUUGUUUUUUCAACCAAUUAUUACCAAGUUAGAUGCUUUUAAUGUGAAGCUGCAGCUGUAGGAAAUGUUGGGUGGGGGAGGGGGCUUCAUGAAGCACUUUUUUCAGGAAUAAAAAGUAUCCAGGAUGCAGCUGCAGGGACGGCUCUACAAAAGUGAAACCAGAACACCUCGAUCAUCCUCAUCCUGCAGGUUUUUCUCUCCCGCGCCGCAGUCUGAGGCAGCGUGUGUGUGUUCCCGGGCGCUGUGCGUGUUAAUGAAAGAGUGGAGAUGUGCGAUGCGUCGCCUGAGCGUCUCGGUGUUGGCGUCUCUAAGCACGGCGAGCCAGGAAAGACAGUCUGCAGAGCCGCCGCACUCCAGGAAGACAGGAGGGUCGCCGCCCUCAAAGCCUGAACACACACACACACACACACACACACACACACACACACGUAGCUGUGAGAUUAAAGCAGCAUUAGUCUCCUGAAUGUGAACACCAUGUUUAAAACUCUUAUUACUAUUACAGUAAUGUAAGUACCAACGCUUUAUUUAAAAAAACUACCGUAUUUUCUAGACUAUAAGUUGCUCCGGAGUGUAUGUCGCAUCAGUCAAAAAAUGCCUCAUGAAGAGGGAAAAAAACAUAUAUAACUCGCACCGGACUAUAAGUCGCAUUUAUUUAUUAUUAUUAUUUAUUACUUCGGCCCAUGGAAUGAAAAUGCUGUAUGGUACAAUAUAUACACAAAUAUGUCAGUAUACAGUGUGCUAUUACCCAUUCACAAUAAAUCAUGACUAUCACAACCACUGAUGCAGACUUUCUUCAGCUCAGAAGGAAACAGUCUUUUCUACUUAAUGCAACAGUUGAAACUAUCUGAAACUAAUGCUAUUUCAAAGAAAAUGCAGAAAAUGUUUAAUCCUACUCACCAUUAACUGACAUCCAACUCUGUGCUGACACUUGUUGUGAGUAUUGACACUUGUAGAAACCCUCAUCUGACUUUGACACUGCAGAGAUAUUCAGCUCCCUUCUGGUAUCAUUUUGAAUCAGUUUCUCAUUUCGAUAGAAAAACACAUUGGACUCAAAUGUUUGUCUUCUCAAUCUGCAGCUCAGGCUAACAGAAUCUCCCUCAGUCACAGGAUGGACAGGGCUCACCAGGAUAAUAUCUGUUUCUGUAAAACAGUCAAAGAAUAUGAGGUUUCAGUCAGAUCAGCUGGUUGAGAAAAUAUCACACAUCACUUAUAUAUUUUACCGAGUGAUCAUAAAGUCUGAUGUUUUAUCUUUUGUACAUACAACUUAUGUGUCUGUAAAGUAUAAUUUUACCAAAUAAACAGCAGGUGUCUACAAGGUCCUACAAACUACACUGAAAACUUAAGUACAGAUUACCCAUAAAGCUACAUAGAUCUACUGUAUACUACAUCCAAUCCUCAUCAUAAUAAGAUGAUGAAAUGGUUUUCAGUUUCUGUAGGAGAGAUGUGUGACUGUGCUCUCUGUGGAAACAAUGAGAUAAAAGCUUAGACUGUGCUGAUGCACAUGGUUAAAUCACAAUAAAAAUAUUUAAGUGUUUAUUAAUUAAUUAAAUAAUUAUUAAUAUAAUUGUUUUGGUGGUGGCAGUAGGUAACAUAUUCAAAGAUGAUUCUUUGGCAUUAUCUGUGUUUGACCAGCACCUGAUUGAAUUAUACUGCUGUAGACUUAGACUUAGACUUAGACAGACUUUAUUUGUCAUUUGGAUUUGCAUCAAAAUGAAAUUACGUUGCAAUGACACAUAGCACAGCAGGAAUAAAAAGGGAGGCAGUAUGUACAGUAUAAAAAUAGAGCAAAUAUAAAAGAGAGAAAAAAACUUUUGUAUGAACCCAUAAGAUAAUAUAUAUUGCACGGUGUAGUUGCCUUUGUAAAAGAAACUUUUGUAUAUAAUACAAAUAAGAUAAAUAUGAUAAACAUAUUUCACAGUGUAGUUGCAGAUUUGGAAACCUUUUUUAUAAAAGACAGAUAUGAUAACUAGGAUAAAUAAGCUUAGAUCAAUAUAAUUUCACAGUGUAGUUACUUAUUUCACAGCAGUAUGACGGGGAGAUCCCUCUACUGAGAACUUCUGAUUGUAUACCUUAUUGCAUAUUAUUUGUGUAGUACCCUGCUACUGUUGGUUACAUUUUGUUUCUUUUAUGAGGAUUUUAGUUAACAAAUAUAUAAAUUACAACUGAUGUGAGAUCAGUUGUGUUUAAUACAGGGAAAUGUAUAUUUGCUAUGUUUUUUAGAAGAUAAUGAAUUUUCCUGUGUUCUGAGCAGUCCUUGAACGCCUCCUGCCGUAUGUUUUGUUGUUUAUUUGAGUAUUCAGGUGUCAAUCUGUCAUUUGUCCAAUCAGGGUCUAUUAGGGAUGAGUAUGGGUAAACUACCGGAUUCUGAGAGGCGGGAUUAAAGAGAGAGACGGAGAAACACUGUGCUGUUCAUAAGUUUUUAAAAUAGUGUUAAAGUUACUUUAUUUCUUUAAUUAAAAACGCUGAGGGUGUUUAUGAGUCUGGACUCUGCUAAGAGGACGAAGAAGACAAGUGCCUCGUGUGGACUGUUGCUAGGACGAGCAUUAGUCGUUGCUAUGGAGGAGCACAACUUUCAUCAGCUGCCAGUGGACAGAGGUUUUGAACUAAACAAACAACGUUUCUAUCCAGUGUGAGUAUAAUCAAAAAGAUCUUCAUAUGAGCUCCAACUGCGCGCCAGCAUUCAUGGUACCAUAAACUGAACAAAGUAAAAACCCCGGGUAUUUUCUUUAUUUUAUUUACAUUUUAUUUGGGUCAUGUUGAAUAAAUGUUCCCCUAUUUUUUUGCAUUGAAGCUGUGUGUGUACUAAUUAUUCAUAUUGCAAAUCAUUGUGUGUUUUUAUGUACUGAAAAGGAAGGUGGUUAUUAAAAAGUAUGUAUGGGAGUUAACUGAACUUGGCCUCUCGGAUCAGAUUAUCUAGUCGAAGUAAAUGCAGAGAAAUGUCAUAUUUAGUAGGCUCCUACCAAUUCACCUCCCAUGCUAAAUUGUUUAAAGGUAAUCAAGGUAAACAUUUUGUUACAAAUUAGAAUUGAGUAGGAGGGCUACAUUUAUUUGUAGAAUAAUCUUUAGGAACAACAAUUCAAUGACAUGGAUAUUGAACUUUUUGUAAUGUAAUGUAGAUGUUGUACACAACAUAAUUCUAAUAUAUGUUGAAACACAUAAUGGGAUGUUUAAAAUCAUUUAUAAAGACAAUGUAAUGAAACCAUACUCUGUAUAGUGAUGUUGACGGCGUUGCUGAACUCUCCUGAUCCAGACUCACACCAGUACACUGCAUCACUCUGCUGGUUACU